rnacentral:rRNA from 1 species
UACGAAGGGGGCUAGCGUUGCUCGGAAUCACUGGGCGUAAAGCGCACGUAGGCGGCUUCUUAAGUCAGGGGUGAAAUCCUGGAGCUCAACUCCAGAACUGCCCUUGAUACUGAGAGGCUCGAGUCCGGGAGAGGUGAGUGGAACUCCGAGUGUAGAGGUGAAAUUCGUAGAUAUUCGGAAGAACACCAGUGGCGAAGGCGGCUCACUGGCCCGGUACUGACGCUGAGGUGCGAAAGCUAGGGUAGCAAACGGG